rnacentral:rRNA from 1 species
UACAGAGGGGGCAAGCGUUGUUCGGAAUUACUGGGCGUAAAGGGCGCGUAGGCGGCCUUCUAAGUCGAACGUGAAAUCCCCGGGCUCAACCCGGGAACUGCGUCCGAUACUGGAAGGCUUGAAUCCGGGAGAGGGAUGCGGAAUUCCAGGUGUAGCGGUGAAAUUCGUAGAUAUCAGGAGGAACACCGAUGGCGAAGGCAGGUCUCUGGGCAUUAACUGACGCUGAGGAGCGAAAGCAUGGGGAGCGAACAGG